CAGCAGCCGCGGUAAUACGAAGGGUGCAAGCGUUAAUCGGAAUUACUGGGCGUAAAGCGUGCGUAGGCGGUGAGUUAAGUCUGCUGUGAAAUCCCCGGGCUCAACCUGGGAAUGGCAGUGGAUACUGGCUCGCUAGAGUGUGUCAGAGGAUGGUGGAAUUCCCGGUGUAGCGGUGAAAUGCGUAGAGAUCGGGAGGAACAUCAGUGGCGAAGGCAAUCCCCUGGACCUGUACUGACGCUCAUGCACGAAAGCGUGGGGAGCAAACAGGAUUAGAUACCCCAGUAGUCCCUGUCUCUUAUAC
rnacentral:rRNA from 1 species